AGAAACUCGCUUGUUGGCAGAAUACAAGAAGUUACAGAGGAGCAUGUACAUAGACCGACGCCGAAGAUCACUUGAAUUCAAUUCCAAGCAACAACCGUUUCCGGAACCACUCUUCCAUAUUGCCAUUCCUACAAUGGAAACCAAUUUCCUGCGAGGCCUUAUUGGGGUUCGUGGGGGCAGCGCCCUUGAUUUUGUCUUAGUCAAAUAACUAACAAAGGCCCUUAACAAUGACGGUCUCACAUUUACCAGUAAUUUCCCUCCAAGUUUCACCUUCAUCUCAUGUAUGCAGAAAUAAAAACCGAUCAAUGUC